rnacentral:lncRNA from 1 species
CCAUUUUCUGCUGCUAAUAAUGCCAUUUUGCAGACUGGGUAAGUUAUAAAGAAAAGAGGUUUAUUUGGUCCAAGGUCAAGGGACUGUAUUUAGUGGUAACCUUGUGCUGGCAGAGUCUCAAGACAGCACAGAGAAUUACAUUGCAAGAUGCAGGUGUGCACAAUGAUCCAGCCAAACUGGCUGCUGUUAGCAGACCCACUCUUAAUCACGUGAAUGUAUCAACCUGUCCAUGAGAGCACAGCCCUGCCUGUACCACCUUUUAAUGUCUCUUGGAGAGUGAAUUUCAACACUGGUUUCAGAGGGCACAGACCAUAUUCAAACCAUAGCUCUUGCUUUCCUUCCAGGUCUCAUUCAAUCACAAAUUUGAAAAUAUCUCAUACACAGUUAGGACAAAGCUGGAGCCAUGUGGUGUGGUUCUCAAGACCCCUUUGUGCUGGGGACACGGAUCAAAAAUCUGGCUCUUAUCUUCAGGCAUGACCAUGUCCAAGACUCCAGCUGUGCCAAUUAAUGAGUAUCUCACCAGCAGCUGGUAUGUGAUUCCCCAAACUUCUCAGUAGUUGUUGGUCUUUUCUAGACAUAAGAGUAUUGGCUGCAAAGAAGCAUUCAGUCUUUGUUUUCCUCUCUGUUUAAUCUCUUCUCUUUUCACUUCUAUUAGCUGAAGAAGAGCUGGGUAAGAGCCUGUUUGUUGUCCAUAGACAGGGUAAUCCCUCCCCUGGAAAAAUUAUUUCUUGAUGGACUCACCCUUGAUACCUGUUCUGUGAUUUUAAAAAUCGGGGGUGUUUCUUGUUUUCUGCAUAAUGCUUGAAGGUCUGAUCUUCAAGAGCUCCCAUUCCAUCCUGCUCCCUGCUGUUUCUCCCCGUCAUUUAGCCAUCAUCACUCCCUUCUCAAAAUUGCUCUAAGAGCAAAAGAUUAGAGAAGCUGAGUGGUCCAAGCUGCUCAUGGUAGAACAAGGCUGAGCAGAGAGAUGUGUGAAGCAUUCUUGGAUUAUCAAGCUAAUCUUUUGCC